ensembl:lncRNA
GGGUAUGCGUGAAAAACAAAUGUCAACUACAGAGGACACAAGUCUAUGGGUUGGUUCUCAGGAGGAUACACAGUAUCAGAACUUGUACUCACUGAUCUCAUGGUUGCUGUUAACACACCAGUAGGGUAUGAAAGCCCUGAGUCUGAACUACCAGGUCAAGACUCAGUCCUCUGACAGAACAGACAUCUGCUUGGGUCAUUAGGACCUCAUGUUAGCAUGUACAGGAAGACAUUUGAGGUUGGGGGGGGGGGUUGGUGGGAAUACAGCCGCGAUUCAUCGUUUACGGGGCAUGGACAUGCAUCUGAAUGUCUCUCGCUCGCUCCUUCCUUUCCAUGCUAUUCUUUUUCAUCCUCACGUCGCCACAUACUCCAUCCCGCCUGGGCGCCCGGAGCUAUGGCCGCCCCGCCGCAUUCGAAACAGACUCUGGAAUGACUUUCCAACGAGCCUCUCAUCCAUCUCACUCCGCCAACGAGGUCUGGUUUCCCUCAGCGCUGACAGGCCGAGCAGGUGACCAGAGGAGUCCAUUUCCGCUUCGGCAACCGGCGUUUUCUUUUCCAUUCGGAUGAGGUCUGGAUGGGGUGUAUGUGUUGGCGCUGCCCUCUAAUCUCGUUGAUUAGAAGUGUCGGUUAUCUGACGUAAGAGGCCUUAGCUAAAGAGGCAGAUCAUUGCAGACAAAAUGUCUCCAUCCCCCAUUAUCUGGAUAAGGACUUGAGAUGACUGUACAGGGAGCGAAAACAUAUGGAGCUAAUGGAGAUUACUGAGUCAUUGGAAGACAUUUAUCUGUCUGGUAAUCUUACGGAUGUAAUCCCCGUUGUAAAUCUAUCAGUCAGCCAUCUCCACGCCAGAGACGUCCCCCUGAAGUAGCCAUGAAAUGCUUGAAUGGCCGUCGGUGAACUUUGCCCCCUGAGCCAUGAUAUCCCCCGUGUCUCGGCUUGGUAGAGGUUUCACCGCAGGAGAUGUCAAACCGAGCGAUAUUUUACAGCCCAGCUUGUAGACAAAACAUCUCUUAACCAUGCACACCCCUCCCCACCCUAAAAAAAAACAAAAAAAAACAACUGUUGCCACAUCUGUUGCCAAUUUUCGGCUAAACAAGCUGGCAGUCGGUGCUGUUUAAUAUUCACAGGGCCUGGAGUCUGACAGGGAGAGAGCCAGGAAUCUGGAUGAGGAUGGAGACCCCACCUACCCCCUCCUCUCUCCACCUCACACACACACCCUUCAUCUGCAGACUGCAGGCCUGAACCGAGCUCCUGAAGAAGAGGUGAGGGCAAGUAGAGGUGCCUUUUAAGAUGCCUAAUUUGGGGGGGAUAAUGAUGGGGGGGGGUUCUCGCCGCGAGGUACGGAGCAGGAGCACAGAACUGACACGGUGCCACACAGGAAGUUUGUGCCAGAGACUCAACCAAUCAGAAUGCGUUUAAUCAUCAAACGAACAAGGCGAGGAUUGGAGGGGGGAGGGGGGAUGCUGUCGGCCAGGCACAACUCAUUAGCCGUCUCUGACCAAGACAAAUGGACAGCUCCAGCCUUUGCCAAUAUUAUUCUUUAAGAGCACAUAUCAGAGACCCACACCAUUUAAAAAUCCUGCCAACUUUCAUGUUCUAUUGUUCAUGGGCCAAACUUUUCAGUGGUAUGAUAACAAUAGUGAAAAUGCUUUUUAAUGUACUUAAAUGUUCUCAUGUGAGCAUGUGAAAC